AAUUAUUUAUUUUAAAAAUUUAAAGAAAAUAAGUUAAAGUUUUAUUAUUUUUUAGAAAAAAUUAAAUUAAUUAUAGAGAAUUAGUAUUGUGAAAGAAUAUUAUUAAAUAAAAAAAGAAAAAUUUAUUUAUUGUACCUUGUGUUUCAGGGCUUAUUAAUUAAUAAUUAAUUAUUUAAUUUUCUCGAUAUUAAAAGAGUUAGGAAAUUAUAAAUUUUAUUGUAAAAUAACUAUUUAAAAUAAUUUUCUUGUAAUGAAAUGUUAUUCGUUUUUAAAUAUAUCUAGUUUUUGAAGAAAAAAAUUAAAUUUUAUUUAUUAGUAAUAAAAAUUUUAUUAAAAAAUGAAUUAUUGCCAAUAAAAAAUAUCUUUUGGGAUAAGCUAAAAGAUAAAAUUUUAUAAAAUUAUUAAUUUAAAUAAAAUGUAGGAUUAGAAAUUUUCAUCAUAAUAAUAUGUUAUAAUUAAUUUUUUUAAGUUUUAAUUUAAAUUAUUUUUAAGUUUUUUAUUCAAAUAGUUUAUUUAAUUAUAAAAUAUGAGAAAUAAUGAUAAGAUUAGUAUAAAAAUAUUUAAAUAAUAAUUUUAAAAAUUAGGUUAAAUUAAGGAAUUCGGCAAUUUUUUUUUCUGCCUGUUUAUUAAAAACAUGUCUUUUUGAAAAUAAUUUAAAGUCUGACCUGCCCACUGAAAUUUAAAUGGCCGCGGUAUUUUGACCGUGCGAAGGUAGCAUAAUAAUUAGUUUUUUAAUUAAAAGCUAGAAUGAAUGGUUGAACAAGAAAAAAACUGUCUCAAUUUAAAUUUAUUAGAAUUUUAUUUUUAAGUUAAAAAGCUUAAAUAAUAAUGAAAGACGAGAAGACCCUAUAGAGUUUUAUAUUAUUAUUAUAUAAAAUUAUUAGAAUUUUAAAUUUUAAAUAAAAAAUAAUAUUUUAUUGGGGUGAUAGAAAAAUUUAAUAAACUUUUUUUAAAUUUUUACAUUUAUAUAUGAGUAUAUGAUCCAAUUAUUUUGAUUAAAAGAUUAAAUUACCUUAGGGAUAACAGCGUAAUUUUUUUAAAGAGUUCAAAUCGAAAAAAAAGUUUGCGACCUCGAUGUUGGAUUAAAAUUAAUUUUUGGUGUAGAAGCUAGAAAUUUAGGUCUGUUCGACCUUUAUAAUUUUACAUGAUCUGAGUUUAAACCGGUGUAAGCCAGGUUGGUUUCUAUCUUUAUUAAAUUAUAAUAUUUUAGUACGAAAGGACCAAAUAUU
rnacentral:rRNA from 1 species